rnacentral:lncRNA from 1 species
GUCCCGUUCUCGCGCGGUGCGUGAGCUCCCGCGUGUUCUCGCGAGAUGUCUGGCUCCUACCUUUCCCGUGAUCCCUUGCGGGGCCGCGCUCAGCUGCGGCGUCUCCACGGAGCUGGCUGAAGGGAUCCGCAGCUGCCACCCGAAGAAGCUGGAGAAGGGACGAUUCGAGUUGCCAAUCCUAGGCAAAGGUGAAGGGACAGGAUCUCGUCCUCACAUCCUCCACCCAGGAUCCACGUCCGAUGGGGAAGUGCCUGCGGGGGUGCUGGCCAGGUGCCGGUGA